CAAUACUUGAAAGCUUCAUUUCUCUGUUUUUGGGGAAUUAUGUUUUGAUUUCUGUUUUCCAUAGACAGUAACAGACAAUCACCUCCCUUAAUCAUUCAUGACCUUCCCUCACUGUUUUUAUUUUGGCUCCAAAGACUUUCACUUCCUCCAAAAAUACCCUCCAGACCAUACAGCAUUUUUCUCAGUAGCACUUAAACCAAUACAGUCUUUUGUUAAACUACAUUCUUACAUUUUAUGAAACACUUUCAGGAGCAGUUUAUCAUUUGAUCCUCUCCUAAACCCUGUGAAAUAGUUAUUGUUCUCCUCUCCAUCUUACAGAUGAGGAAACUGAACUUCAGAGAGUUCCUGAAGGUCACACAAGGUGGGAUUAGUGCCCAGGGCUUCUGUCUGCAGAGCCUGUUGUCUUUAAUUUUUCUUUUCUUCCCUCCCUCCCUCCCUCCCUCCUUCCUUCCUUCCUUCCUUCCUUCCUUCCUUCCUUCCUUUCUUUCCUUCCUUCCUUCCUUCCUUCUUCCCUUCCUCCCUUCUUCCCUUCCUCUCUUUCUUUCAUAAUAAUUUAGUACCAAUAAUAUGGCAAAUAUGUCCCUGCCUCUAGAGGCUUAGUGGUUCAUGGAAAUCCAGUGGGAUGUGUGAGGCCUUCUGGGAGGGUUAGUGCAUUGGGCUUGGUUGAGGAGGCCAUAGCUAACUGUGAUUGUGCCUGAGAGUAUCACACUUGAUGUGCUGCAGAAUAUUCAUGCUACCUUGAUUACUCGCUCAUGCAUUCCACUAGGCCUGUUUUUUUCCCAGGUGAAAACCAAGCCGAUGGCUACAGAACCUAGUGGGAGAGACUCUUUUGCCCUUCUAUUUGACUCAACUGGCAAUGUCUUAACCACAAUAUCGUGCUGAUGUUAAAAGACAUACUAUGCUUCCAUUUUUCUUUGCCUUUCCUUUGAGCUUAGUUUCAGUGACUACUGAUUUUAUUUCUCACUAGAAGGACAACUCGGUUGGCCUCCUUUAUGUUCUAGCCAGGGGUCAACAAACAUUCUUUAAAGGGAGGGCUUCAGGUGCAGGGCGAAGUGAGUGAGGCACUUGCUUUGGGUGCAACCUACAAGGAGGGGGUCAAAAACUCAGUAAACAAGAUAAAGAAUAUCUUACUGCAAUAUUUUAAAUAAUCAAAAUUAACACAAAAUUCCAAGAUGAAGAAAAUGUCAAGAUUUUAAAUAUGGACCAGACACUUGCAGUGCCCUGCAGAGCUAUGCAGGAAUGUGAGGCAAAAGGAGCAACCAGGGAUACUGCCCCCUAGCUAGAGUGUUGGAAUCCUACUUAGGAUUUUGUCUUUAUUUGGCUUCAUCAUUCUCCAAAGACCUCAAAACUGUCCUCACGCUCUUCCCCAGCAGAUCUCCCUGGGAAAUCUCUUUUCUUAUGCAGAAGCUUGCCUUGCUGCUUCUGGCUACUUCCAAAUUUGGAAAACCAAACUUUUGAUUUCCAAGGAGACUUCAGAGUCUAGAAAAUGUCUCUGAGGAUUUCCUACAGCAAGUGGCCGUUUCGAAGAGCUGGGCAGACAGGAAUAUCUGUGGCUUCCUGGGCCUUACACGCCUGCUUGCUAUCUCAUUAUACCCCUGGCUGUGGCAAAAGGGAGCAGGUGUUUGGGGAUCUCUUUCUCUAUGAAUUAUUGUUUGAUCCCAGAGCCAGAAUUAAAAAAUAUGCUUCAUUCUCAGUACUAUGCUUGAUCUAUUUUGGAUUAAUGAUAAAUAUGUUUGGUUUAUUGAUAACAUCUUUUUUAUAGAUUUUGAAAUGCAUUGUAGAUAUUAACUGGCAAAAUAAGGUGAGGAAGGAGAUGAGGCUUCCUGUUUGAUGUCACGUGACGGAUUCAUAUGUUGGCUUGGGUCCCCUUUCUAUUAGUUGUUAAUUAGAUAAAAGGAGAGAGAGAGUUGUUGGGCACCGGAUGCCAUGGAACAGUUGUCCAGGGUGUCCAUAAUGUCGUUUUCACAAAACUGUAGUAAGCUGGGGGUUCCAGGCCAGGUGAACCAAGGGCUACGUGAUAUACAAAAGUGAGGAGAAGGCUGUUUUCCUGUAGAUUCACUUUAUAUGAAUCAAUAGCUUUCUGGGAAUAGCUCUUUCCAGCCGUGCCCUCUGUGUGCCCUGGCACUGGGUCCCUGUGAACCCACUAUGAAAGGUUAACAGAGCCAAGAACAUGGUCUCUUUCAUGUAUCUGUUGCCCCUGAACUAACCUGGAUGCCUCACUUUCAAGAUGGAAAUCCAUUCCAGACAGGGCGAACUCAAGGGGCAAGGACAGACCCUGCAGUCCUUUCUGUCUUUGGUCUCUGGGGCUGGCCUUCUCCAGCACCUCUUGGCAGAUAAAGAGUGACCACUUUGUUCAUACCGUGAUAAUCUUAACAUUUUGCCUACUUGGGCAACCUAUGGUCUUAUAGCUGCUUAGAGAGCUUCAGCUGGCAUUCCAUAUAGAGUGACCACAUUUUCUGAAUCCAAUUGUGUUUGAACCAUAGUUGAUGAGCUAUAAUCGUACAUUGGAAGAGAGUACAUUAAAUCAGGAGUCUCUAGGAAAUUUAGUAUUAAUCUAUGUAUCUUUGAUAAAUGUAUGGAAUUGAAAAUUAUUAAUUUUUAUUACUAUAUUAGUACUAUGUCAGUUUUAUAAAUAACAGUGAUAUAUGGUUUUCUGGAAGACCAAGAAUGGUAACAUGACCAUCACAAAAGCAACAGAAACAGAUUAUUUACUUUC
rnacentral:lncRNA from 1 species